GACGAACGAGGGUGGCGUGCUUAACACAUGCAAGUCGAACGGAAAGGCCCUGCUUUUGUGGGGUGCUCGAGUGGCGAACGGGUGAGUAACACGUGAGUAACCUGCCCUUGACUUUGGGAUAACUUCAGGAAACUGGGGCUAAUACCGGAUAGGAGCUCCUGCUGCAUGGUGGGGGUUGGAAAGUUUCGGCGGUUGGGGAUGGGCUCGCGGCUUAUCAGCUUGUUGGUGGGGUAGUGGCUUACCAAGGCUUUGACGGGUAGCCGGCCUGAGAGGGUGACCGGCCACAUUGGGACUGAGAUACGGCCCAGACUCCUACGGGAGGCAGCAGUGGGGAAUAUUGCACAAUGGGCGGAAGCCUGAUGCAGCAACGCCGCGUGCGGGAUGACGGCCUUCGGGUUGUAAACCGCUUUCGCCUGUGACGAAGCGUGAGUGACGGUAAUGGGUAAAGAAGCACCGGCUAACUACGUG
rnacentral:rRNA from 1 species